AGAGUUUGAUCAUGGCUCAGAUUGAACGCUGGCGGCAUGCCUUACACAUGCAAGUCGAACGGCAGCAUGAUCUAGCUUGCUAGAUUGAUGGCGAGUGGCGAACGGGUGAGUAAUACAUCGGAACGUGCCCUGUAGUGGGGGAUAACUAGUCGAAAGAUUAGCUAAUACCGCAUACGACCUGAGGGUGAAAGUGGGGGACCGCAAGGCCUCAUGCUAUAGGAGCGGCCGAUGUCUGAUUAGCUAGUUGGUGAGGUAAAGGCUCACCAAGGCGACGAUCAGUAGCUGGUCUGAGAGGACGAUCAGCCACACUGGGACUGAGACACGGCCCAGACUCCUACGGGAGGCAGCAGUGGGGAAUUUUGGACAAUGGGGGCAACCCUGAUCCAGCAAUGCCGCGUGUGUGAAGAAGGCCUUCGGGUUGCAAAGCACUUUUGUCCGGAAAGAAAUCGCACUUACUAAUAUUAGGUGUGGAUGACGGUACCGGAAGAAUAAGGACCGGCUAACUACGUGCCAGCAGCCGCGGUAAU
rnacentral:rRNA from 1 species